AUACAGACAAACCUGAGGAGGGAGACGAACCAGGCGAUCGAGACCUGCCUGGGACUUGUCCCACCUGGAUAGGAGAAACAACUGAAGGUCCCGGGAGUGGAAUUGGGAAUAGGGAAUGGCUUCGAAGGAAGCCACCAUCCUCCCCAGGAC